rnacentral:rRNA from 1 species
GACGAACGCUGGCGGCGUGCCUAAUACAUGCAAGUCGAACGCUGAAGCUUGGUGCUUGCACCGAGCGGAUGAGUUGCGAACGGGUGAGUAACGCGUAGGUAACCUGCCUGGUAGCGGGGGAUAACUAUUGGAAACGAUAGCUAAUACCGCAUAAGAGUAGAUGUUGCAUGACAUUUGCUUAAAAGGUGCAAUUGCAUCACUACCAGAUGGACCUGCGUUGUAUUAGGUAGUUGGUGAGGUAACGGCUCACCAAGGCAAAGAUACAUAGCCGAACUGAGAGGGUGAUCGGCCACACUGGGACUGGGACACGGCCCAGACUCCCACGGGAGGCAGCAGUAAGGAAUCUUCGGCAAUGGGCGGAAGUCUGAACGAGCAAAGCCGGGGGAGUGAAGAAGGUUUUCGGAUCGUAAAGCUCUGUUGUAAGAGAAGAACGAGUGUGAGAGUGGAAAGUUCACACUGUGACGGUAUCUAACCAGAAAGGGACGGCUAACUACGUG